rnacentral:tRNA from 1 species
GUCGCGGUGGGGAAGUGGCAUCCCGGCUGGUUCAUACCCAGCAGAUCGUCGGUUCAAGUCCGGCCCGCGCA